AAGGGGGCCGACACCGGAAUAGAAGGGUGGGGAGGGGAGAAGGCGAUAGGGGAAGCCAGGUGCGUGGGAAGGUAAAGGGCUGCAGGAGCAGGAACCUGAGAGGAGAGCAGUGGACCGUGGAGAAAGGGAAGGUGCUUGUGAAAAUGGAACCGCUUCAUUACCCAGGGAUACAAGGGGUUCUACUGAUGCUGGAAAUCUGGAGCAACAGACACAACAUGCUGGAGAUUGUGUCCUGCUGAGUUCCUCCAACACUUUGAGUGUCAUUGCCCAGAGAUGUUACAGACUAGAAAAACAUGAAAGGAAAUUGCCAAAUGACGGACAGCUGUUAGCACUUGCGCAAGAGGAAUUAAAACUAAAAAAAAAAACAAAUACUGGAGUGUAUGGAGGCAACUGACAGGGAGUUCAUGGACAGUAUGACCCGGCUGACGACGAACAUUAAAAAACUAACUAAUUCUGUUCCAUUAAUAAAGCACUUUGUUAAAUGUAUAAAACAUGUCUGCAUCAGUGUUAUCUUGUAUUUCCAUACAAUGUUACAUUAGGCUGUUACACAUCUAUUGUCAGAGAAGUACUUGCAUAAAUAGGUAAACCACCUUCAUACGAGCAAGGACAGAAAACAGGGCAAAGUGAGUAUACUUAUUUAUUCAGUAAGUUAUGGGUCAAAGUGUUUGGUGAGUACAUUUCAAACUCUUCUGGCUUCAGUUUCAUUGCCGUCUGUUCUGAAAUUGUUAGGUUGUUCCAGCAUAUCAUUCCAGCUUUCAAAAAAACAAUGAAAUGCCACUCUGCUGCCACCACCAUCUGUUCCGGGACAUCAUGACAGCGUUUCUAGAAAUCUGUGGUUACCCCAUCCACACUACUCUGCCCAAUCGCCCUUUUCAAAUUUACACACUCUGGAGGGCGUUUUAGAAAAGUUUCAUUUUCAGGGGAGGAAAACACAGUUUCAGUGUGGAUGGAGGGUCAAAACAAAGAGAAAAAGUUUCAGUUACGGAUUUAUCCGGUCUAGUGUGGAUGUAGCCUGAGACAUUCAGCAAUGACUGUGCAGAUACAAUGAGGUAUGUUUACGGAUGUGUGAACAAGGUUCUUGUGCGAGUGGCAAUGAUCCCCACUCUCAUCUCUGCACUCUGAAGCAAAUCUCUUGGCUGGAUAUAGGAAGAGCCCAGACAAAAGAUGAUGGGACAGAACAUUUUUCAGACCAAGCCAAAGUCAAGGUGAAUUCUGCUGGCUGGACAGGCUUCUGUUACACCAGCCGGAGCUUCAGAUGGCCAUGGAGACACCAGCAGCAAGGUCUGAACCUGCUAACUAUGUCACCCUUUGGUGGGUCUAUGGAGAAGGUAAUGGACCAGAAGACACAAGAGACUGCAGAUGCUGGAAUCUGGAGCAAAAUAUAGAACUGCUGGAGCAUCUCAAUGGGCCAGGCAGCAUCUGUGGAGGAAAGACCGUCAAUGCUUCAGGCCAAGACCAUUCAUCUGGACUGGGAGAUAGUAUAAGGAGGCAGGAACCAAACAAGAAACCCAAUCUGAAAAAGCCACCAACACCUGAUGCACAGAGAAAGAGGAAAAAACGAGUCAAAUCAAAUCACGCAAACAAUAAAGCAAGAACCAGCAUUCGGGAUGAACCAGGAGAGAGGCGGGCGCAGAGGAGUGGAAGUGGAAGUUCAGAGCUCAGUGUUCAUGGCUGGAGACGAAUCAGGGACUGCCUCACCCUGGCAAUGGAGGCGACCGAGGAUAGACAGGUCAGUGUGGAAAUGCGGGGAACAGUGAGAGCUCCAGGUGGCUGUGAUGGACAGAAUAUUGUUACCUGAGGACUAGAUCUGUGGCAAUCAAGUCUGGUGACCCAGGUCUGUACUAGAAAACCAGAUCCGACUUUCGGAGGGCUACCUCAAAAGCAAAGGAACAAUUCCAAACAAGGUUGGACACAGAAUCGGAUGCACGUCAACUCUGCAGGGAUCGCAGACCAUUACUUCCUACAAAGCAAAACCUAAUGUCAUGAAUGGCAGCGAUGCUUCACUCCCAGUUGGGCUGAAUGCCUUUUUUGCUCGCUUUAAAACGACAGCUACGAGGAUCCCAGCAGCACCUGGUGACCCUGUGAUCUGUCUCAGAUGCCAAUGUCAGAUUGUGUAUCAAGAGGGUGAACCCUCUCAAGGCGAUGGGCCCUGAUGGAGUACCCGGUCGGACUCUGAAAACCUGUGCCAACCACCUGGCAGGUGUGUUCAAAGACAUUUUCAAUCUCUCAUUGCUAAAGUCGGAAGUUCUCAUGUACUUCUAAAGGGGAACAAUUAUACCAGCACCUAAGAAAUGCAAUGUGAGCUGCCUUAACAACUAUCAUCCAGUAGCACUCACGUCUCUGGUGAUAAAAUGCAUUGAGAAGGUGAUUAUAGAAACAUAGAAAACCUACAGCAUAAUACAGGUCCUUUGGUACACAAAGCUGUGCUGAACAUGUCCUUACCUUAGAAAUUAUGGCUAGAAUUAACUCCUGUCUCAGCAGAGACCUGGGCCCACUGCAAUUUGCCUAUCGCCACAAUAGGCCUAUGGCAGAUGUGAUCUCAUUGGCUCUUCAUGCAGCCUUGGAUCAACUGGACACUGCAAAUAUCCAUGUCAGGAUGCUCUUUAUUGACUACAGUUCAACAUUUAACACAAUCAUUCCUACAGUCUGAUCAAAAAGCCAACAACCUGGGCCUCUGACCUCCCUCUCCAACUUGAUCUCCGACCACAAUCUGUGCGGGUUGUAAAUAACAUCUGCACCUUGUUGACAGUCAACAUUGGCGCACCUCAAAUGAGUGCUUAGCCCACGGCUCUACACCCAUGACUGUGUGGCCAGGCACUGCUCAAGUGCCAUCUACACCCACGGCUCUACACCCAUGACUGUGUGGCCAGGCACUGCUCAAAUGCCAUCUACGCCCACUGCUCUACACCCAUGACUGUGUGGCCAGGCACUGCUCAAGUGCCAUCUACACCCACUGCUCUACACCCAUGACUGUGUGGCCAGGCACUGCUCAAAUGCCAUCUACGCCCACUGCUCUACACCCAUGACUGUGUGGCCAGGCACUGCUCAAGUGCCAUCUACACCCACUGCUCUACACCCAUGACUGUGUGGCCAGGCACUGCUCAAAUGCCAGAUACACCCACUGCUCUACACCCAUGACUGUGUGGCCAGGCACUGCUCAAGUGCCAUCUACACCCAUGACUGUGUGGCCAGGCACUGCUCAAAUGCCAUUGUACAAUGUCCUGGGUAUGUUACUCAAAAUGGCCUCUUUGGUUUGUUACAAGUAGGAAUGUUUCUUUGUCGGAUAAGUGUUUCUCUAGCCGUUGUUUCACUUUAGAAUGGCUGAUAUGGUAAUUGUAUUCAUUUGUUAAUCAAUGGGGAAUGUCAUUGUGUCUUGUGAUGCUGGGAACUUGGGGGAGGGGUUUUCGCGGGUUUUUGGGGGGAGAGGCCGAAGAAGAGACGAAGAAGGUGGACGUGUGCUGGACUGCUCGUAAGACCACCGGGGUGGUCCCAGGUGCGACGGCCGGAUGGGUCGAUUGGUUCGUUGAUUGAGCUCCAACGAGUGCACUAAACAGACUGAACUUUGAUAAGUGGCGUCUUUUGUUUUUUUCCUUGUGUAUAUAUAUUGUA